rnacentral:rRNA from 1 species
GCAGUCGUACGCUUCUUUUUCCACCGGAGCUUGCUCCACCGGAAAAAGAGGAGUGGCGAACGGGUGAGUAACACGUGGGUAACCUGCCCAUCAGAAGGGGAUAACACUUGGAAACAGGUGCUAAUACCGUAUAACAAUCGAAACCGCAUGGUUUUGAUUUGAAAGGCGCUUUCGGGUGUCGCUGAUGGAUGGACCCGCGGUGCAUUAGCUAGUUGGUGAGGUAACGGCUCACCAAGGCCACGAUGCAUAGCCGACCUGAGAGGGUGAUCGGCCACAUUGGGACUGAGACACGGCCCAAACUCCUACGGGAGGCAGCAGUAGGGAAUCUUCGGCAAUGGACGAAAGUCUGACCGAGCAACGCCGCGUGAGUGAAGAAGGUUUUCGGAUCGUAAAACUCUGUUGUUAGAGAAGAACAAGGAUGAGAGUAACUGUUCAUCCCUUGACGGUAUCUAACCAGAAAGCCACGGCUAACUACGUGCCAGCAGCCGCGGUAAUACGUAGGUGGCAAGCGUUGUCCGGAUUUAUUGGGCGUAAAGCGAGCGCAGGCGGUUUCUUAAGUCUGAUGUGAAAGCCCCCGGCUCAACCGGGGAGGGUCAUUGGAAACUGGGAGACUUGAGUGCAGAAGAGGAGAGUGGAAUUCCAUGUGUAGCGGUGAAAUGCGUAGAUAUAUGGAGGAACACCAGUGGCGAAAGCGGCUCUCUGGUCUGUAACUGACGCUGAGGCUCGAAAGCGUGGGGAGCAAACAGGAUUAGAUACCCUGGUAGUCCACGCCGUAAACGAUGAGUGCUAAGUGUUGGAGGGUUUCCGCCCUUCAGUGCUGCAGCUAACGCAUUAAGCACUCCGC